rnacentral:misc_RNA from 1 species
AGUUGUGGAUUGCAGAUAUUUCUGUGUAACAAGAAAGCAAUAUAUGAUAAGUUAAAGACCUUAAAGAAUGUGGAACAGUGUCUAAAGGUUGAGUUAAAAUGACUUCAUUUUGAGGGUGAAAGAAAAUUAAAAUUUGUGUGCUUCUUUGAGAGGUGUUGCAUCCAGCAGGCUGAAAUGGCAGACCAUCUAAAGAAUUGCCAUAACAGGGUCCGAAAUUUUGAAUUUUUCAUUCCACAGCCCCAUCAUGUAGAUAUAUACUAAGCUGUUAUGUACAAGGCCUAGGUGAACAGUGUAUAUAAUAUAUCAUUGCAUAGGCUUAAAACAAUAAAUUUGAAAAUCAUUGAAAUAGGAGAAUCAAGUAUGACCUGCAUAUUGCCGAUAAGCAGCGA